rnacentral:rRNA from 1 species
ACAAGUUGGCUACUAUGCCAGCUGGUGGAUAGCUCGGCUCGGAAGCCGAUGAAGGACGUGCCAAGCUGCGAUAAGCCUGAGGGAGCCGCACGGAGGCGAAGAACUCAGGAUCUCCUAAUAGGAACUCCUCACCGCAAUUGCUUCGCGCAAUGGGGAACGCCGGGAACUGAAACAUCUUAGUACCGGCAGGAAGAGAAAGCGAAUGCGAUAUCGUCAGUAACCGCGAGUGAACGCGAUACAGUCCAAACCGAAUCCUUCGGGAUAUGUGGUGUUUUGGGCUGACUCUCAUCGGCCGAACGUCUUCGAGAAGUCUCCUGGAACGGAGCGUGAUACAGGGUGACAACCCCGUAUCGAAGUCAAGUACGUCGUGCGUCAGUUCCUGAGUAGCGGGGGUUGGAAAUCCCUCGUGAAUUUGGCAGGCAUCGUCUGUCAAGACUAAAUACUCUCCGAGACCGAUAGUGAACAAGUAGCGUGAGCGAACGCUGAAAAGCACCCUCAGAAGGGAGGUGCAAUAGGGCUUGAAAUCAGUUGGCGAUGGAGCGACGGGGCAUACAAGGUCCCGUGAAGAACGACCUGCCUGCGAAGGCACAGUAGGAUUCACGGGAAGCCGGUGUUCCGUCGUGCGUUUUGAAAAACGAGCCAGGGAGUGUGUCUGUUUGGCAAGUCUAACCCGAGCAUCGGGGGAGGCACAGGGAAACCAACAUGGCCGCAGGGCUUUGCCCCAGGGCCGCCGUCUUCAAGGGCGGGGAGCCAGACGGACACGACCCGAAUCCGGACGAUCUACUCCUGGGCAAGGUGAAGCGUACCGAAAGGUGCGUGGAAGCCUGUUAGCGUUGGUGUCCUACAAUACCCUCGCGUGACCUUGGAGUAGGGGUGAAAGGCCCAUCGAGUCCGGCAACAGCUGGUUCCAACCGAAACAUGUCGAAGCAUGACCUCCGCUGAGGUAGUCCGUGAGGUAGAGCGACCGAUUGCCGUGUCCGCCCUCGAGAGAGGUCGGCUCGGCUGUCAAACUCCGAACUUACGGACGCCGUCGACGCGGGGAGUCCGGUGCGCGGGGUAAGCCUGUGUACCAUAAGGGGAACAACCCAGCGUUUGGUUAAGGUCCCCAAGUGUGGAUUAAGUGUAAUCCUCUGAAGGUGGUCUCAAGCCCUAGACAGCCGGGAGGUGAGCUUAGAAGCAGCUACCCUCCAAGA